rnacentral:rRNA from 1 species
AACGAACGCUGGCGGCAUGCCUAACACAUGCAAGUCGAACGAGACCUUCGGGUCUAGUGGCGCACGGGUGCGUAACGCGUGGGAACCUGCCCUUAGGUUCGGAAUAACUCCCCGAAAGGGGUGCUAAUACCGGAUAAUGUCUUCGGACCAAAGAUUUAUCGCCUUUGGAUGGGCCCGCGUUGGAUUAGCUAGUUGGUAGGGUAAAAGCCUACCAAGGCGACGAUCCAUAGCUGGUCUGAGAGGAUGAUCAGCCACACUGGGACUGAGACACGGCCCAGACUCCUACGGGAGGCAGAAGUGGGGAAUAUUGGACAAUGGGCGAAAGACUGAUCCAGCAAUGCCGCGUGAGUGAUGAAGGCCUUAGGGUUGUAAAGCUCUUUUACCCGGGAUGAUAAUGACAGUACCGGGAGAAUAAGCUCCGGCUAACUCCGUG